rnacentral:rRNA from 1 species
CAUGCAGUCGAGCGGGGAAGUGUAGCUUGCUACAUUACCUAGCGGCGGACGGGUGAGUAAUGCUUAGGAAUCUGCCUAUUAGUGGGGGACAACAUUCCGAAAGGAAUGCUAAUACCGCAUACGUCCUACGGGAGAAAGCAGGGGAUCUUCGGACCUUGCGCUAAUAGAUGAGCCUAAGUCGGAUUAGCUAGUUGGUGGGGUAAAGGCCUACCAAGGCGACRAUCUGUAGCGGGUCUGAGAGGAUGAUCCGCCACACUGGGACUGAGACACGGCCCAGACUCCUACGGGAGGCAGCAGUGGGGAAUAUUGGACAAUGGGCGGAAGCCUGAUCCAGCCAUGCCGCGUGUGUGAAGAAGGCCUUUUGGUUGUAAAGCACUUUAAGCGAGGAGGAGGCUACUCUAGUUAAUACCUAGAGAUAGUGGACGUUACUCGCAGAAUAAGCACCGGCUAACUCUGUGCCAGCAGCCGCGGUAAUACAGAGGGUGCGAGCGUUAAUCGGAUUUACUGGGCGUAAAGCGUGCGUAGGCGGCUGAUUAAGUCGGAUGUGAAAUCCCUGAGCUUAACUUAGGAAUUGCAUUCGAUACUGGUCAGCUAGAGUAUGGGAGAGGAUGGUAGAAUUCCAGGUGUAGCGGUGAAAUGCGUAGAGAUCUGGAGGAAUACCGAUGGCGAAGGCAGCCAUCUGGCCUAAUACUGACGCUGAGGUACGAAAGCAUGGGGAGCAAACAGGAUUAGAUACCCUGGUAGUCCAUGCCGUAAACGAUGUCUACUAGCCGUUGGGGCCUUUGAGGCUUUAGUGGCGCAGCUAACGCGAUAAGUAGACCGCCUGGGGAGUACGGUCGCAAGACUAAAACUCAAAUGAAUUGACGGGGGCCCGCACAAGCGGUGGAGCAUGUGGUUUAAUUCGAUGCAACGCGAAGAACCUUACCUGGUCUUGACAUAGUAAGAACUUUCCAGAGAUGGAUUGGUGCCUUCGGGAACUUACAUACAGGUGCUGCAUGGCUGUCGUCAGCUCGUGUCGUGARAUGUUGGGUUAAGUCCCGCAACGAGCGCAACCUUUUCCUUAUUUGCCAGCGGGUUAAGCCGGGAACUUUAAGGANCUG